AUGAACGCUGGCGGCGUGCCUAAUACAUGCAAGUCGAGCGAACAGACGAGGAGCUUGCUCCUUUGACGUUAGCGGCGGACGGGUGAGUAACACGUAGGUAACCUACCUAUAAGACUGGGAUAACUUCGGGAAACCGGAGCUAAUACCGGAUAAUAUUUCGAACCGCAUGGUUCGAUAGUGAAAGAUGGCUUUGCUAUCACUUAUAGAUGGACCUGCGCCGUAUUAGCUAGUUGGUAAGGUAACGGCUUACCAAGGCAACGAUACGUAGCCGACCUGAGAGGGUGACCGGCCACACUGGAACUGAGACACGGUCCAGACUCCUACGGGAGGCAGCAGUAGGGAAUCUUCCGCAAUGGGCGAAAGCCUGACGGAGCAACGCCGCGUGAGUGAUGAAGGUCUUCGGAUCGUAAAACUCUGUUAUUAGGGAAGAACAAACGUGUAAGUAACUGUGCACGUCUUGACGGUACCUAAUCAGAAAGCCACGGCUAACUACGUG
rnacentral:rRNA from 1 species